rnacentral:tRNA from 1 species
GCCGGAGUGGCGGAAUCGGUAGACGCAGCGGACUCAAAAUCCGCCGGUGGCAACACCGUGAGGGUUCGAGUCCCUCCUCCGGCACCA